UACGUAGGUGGCGAGUGUUAUUCGGAUUUACUGGGCGUAAAGGGUUCGUAGGGGGUUUGCUAAGUCCGACGUGAAAGCCCAUGGCUUAACCAUGGAAUGUCGUUGGAUACUGGCGAGCUUUGAGGACUGGAGAGGAGAGUGGAAUUCCUGGUGUAGCGGUGGAAUGCGUAGAUAUCAGGAGGAACACCGAUGGCGAAGGCAGCUCUCUGGACAGUACCUGACCCUGAUGAACGAAAGCUGGGGGAGCAAACAGG
rnacentral:misc_RNA from 1 species